rnacentral:rRNA from 1 species
UACGAAGGGGGCUAGCGUUGCUCGGAAUCACUGGGCGUAAAGGGUGCGUAGGCGGGUCUUUAAGUCAGGGGUGAAAUCCUGGAGCUCAACUCCAGAACUGCCUUUGAUACUGAAGAUCUUGAGUUCGGGAGAGGUGAGUGGAACUGCGAGUGUAGAGGUGAAAUUCGUAGAUAUUCGCAAGAACACCAGUGGCGAAGGCGGCUCACUGGCCCGGUACUGACGCUGAGGUGCGAAAGCGUGGGGAGCAAGCAGG